rnacentral:rRNA from 1 species
CCUACGGGCGGCAGCAGUAGGGAAUCUUCCACAAUGGGCGAAAGCCUGAUGCAGCAACGCCGCGUGGGUGAAGAAGGUCUUCGGAUCGUAAAACCCUGUUGUUAGAGAAGAAAGUGCGUGAGAGUAACUGUUCACGUUUCGACGGUAACUAACCAGAAAGCCACGGCUAACUACGUGCCAGCAGCCGCGGUAAUACGUAGGUGGCAAGCGUUAUCCGGAUUUAUUGGGCGUAAAGGGAACGAAGGCGGUCUUUUAAGUCUGAUGUGAAAGCCUGCGGCUUAACCGGAGUAGUGCAUUGGAAACUGGGAGACUUGAGUGCAGAAGAGGAGAGUGGAACUCCAUGUGUAGCGGUGAAAUGCGUAGAUAUAUGGAAGAACACCAGUGGCGAAAGCGGCUCUCUGGUCUGUAACUGACGCUGAGGUUCGAAAGCGUGGGUAGCAAACAGGAUUAGAUACCCCUGUAGUC